UCCUCAAGAAAGCUGAAGCUAGAAUUGCAGAAUUGAAGCAGCUUGGACUUGAUUAUACAAUAAUCAGUGUGGGGAAAAAGGGUAAUUCAUAUUUCAUCCGCAGGCCUUACAUCCCAGUGGACAGAUUCCUAGAUGGUAGCUCACUCCCUACAGCUAAAGAAGCUCAGGCAAUUGCUGAUGAUGUUUUUUCACUCUUUGUUAGUGAAGAAGUCGAUAAAGUGGAGCUUUUGUACACCAAAUUCGUAUCCUUGGUUAAGUCUGAUCCUGUGAUUCAUACUUUGCUUCCACUUUCACCAAAGGGUGAAAUCUGUGAUGUAAAUGGUGUUUGUGUUGAUGCUGCUGAGGAUGAGUUCUUCAGAUUGACAACCAGGGAAGGGAAACUGACGGUGGAGAGAGAAGUUAUGAGGACUGAGACAGCUGAUUUCUCUCCCAUUUUGCAGUUUGAGCAGGACCCAGUUCAGAUUCUUGAUGCUUUGUUGCCUCUUUAUCUCAACAGCCAGGUUCUGAGGGCUUUGCAGGAAUCACUAGCCAGUGAGCUUGCAGCUAGGAUGAGUGCCAUGAGCAAUGCUACUGAUAAUGCCCAGGAACUGAAAAAGACCUUGUCUAUUGUCUACAACCGGCAGCGUCAAGCGAAAAUCACC
rnacentral:lncRNA from 1 species